rnacentral:rRNA from 1 species
UACGAAGGGGGCUAGCGUUGCUCGGAAUUACUGGGCGUAAAGGGCGCGUAGGCGGACAGUUUAGUCAGAGGUGAGAGCCCAGGGCUCAACCUUGGAAUAGCCUUUGAUACUGGCUGUCUUGAGUUCGGGAGAGGUGAGUGGAAUGCCGAGUGUAGAGGUGAAAUUCGUAGAUAUUCGGCGGAACACCAGUGGCGAAGGCGACUCACUGGCCCGAUACUGACGCUGAGGCGCGAAAGCCAGGGGAGCAAACGGG